GACCGAGAUCCAGUGCGUCGACCUCACACAGUCUCUCCGGAAAGGAGUUCGCAGCUCGCGUAGGUGUUCGGUUGCUGAAGGUAUGCUGUUCGAUUAGAUGUUGUUAACGCACAUACAAUUAUCAGUGGGGAUUUAGUCAGGUGACAUUUUUUAGGCAACCAUGUUGUGAUAAAGCUUCUUAAUUUGUGGAUUUGAAUAUUGGGUGGCUUAAUUUUUCACUAUCAGCUAGCUCUAAUUGAUGUUGAGUCUUUGCUUUUUGAGACGUUGUAGUGUCGCAACCAAGUUGGUAUCUGCACUGUUUCUAUCAGAAAUACAUGUGAGUCCAUUCUUUGACAUCUGAACUUUGCUGAUGCUUAUGCCAUUGUAUGCACAACAAGCACCUUCGCCACAUUGUCAUCCAUUUGUGAGAUGUUUCUGUUUCUCUAUGUUGGCAUGGAUGCAUUGGAUAUACAGAUUUGGAAGAUUGUUAGCAGAACACAUAUACAGGCAACUGCGGGGACUACCAACAGGCGGCGUACCUGCUACGUGUUGGUGAUGAGCAAGCUAGCCAAGGGGCAGCAUAGUGAAUCGAUGAAGAAGCUGGAAUCCUAAUAGGAGGAAUAUUUUCAACUAGUUUGUCGCAUGUUGGAGGAGGUAUUCUCGCCCACUGUGGUUAUCCAGCAUUUUAGCCUGUUACAUGCCUUAUCUUCUUUUCUGAAUUCUAUAUAGUAUAUUCUUUCGAUUUUUUUCUGUAAAAACAAAGCAUGUGAGCUCAUCUGCUAUAGAUUCGGGAACAACAUAUGUGCAACAUAGUAGUAAUAACGCCUUUUAACUUC